UGAAGAUUUCAAAUAUAAUAUGGCACAUAAUGACAGUUUAUACAAAUUGUCAAGUCAAAAAAAUGAAGGCAAUAAUGAAGACAAUACAUAAGGUUUUCUCCCCCCCCCCUCAUAUUGGGUAGAAACAUUACAUAUAUCAUGUUCAAUGUAAUGUACACCUGUAGCAAAAAUAAAUAUCUUCAGUGAGAUCUACUACAGUAAGCAAAACUGAUCAAAAUAGCUUAAAGAUCCUAAAAAUUAUUUUAAAAAAAAAUCUACUUUUUUAAAAUAAAUUCAGUUGCUUUUCCUUAAAAUUGAUUAAAAAAUGUUUAAAAAAAAAAAAAAAAAAAAAAGGAUUGCUAGAAACAAGAUCAGUCUAUGCAUAGGGACAAAGUCUACUAAUGCUCAUGGUAGCGGCCUUCGGUUUUGAGCAUGGGAAUGCUAAAUGUGUUCUUAAAGAGGCACUCCAAGCACCAUGACAACUGAAGCCCGCAGGAACAGCUACGUGACAGGAGUAGUCACAAGUUACCGAGAGUCUCUUGGACUCAAGUUCCCACUUUCUCUUAAGAUGGAGCUCCUGCAAAUAACAAUAGUUUUCUAGAGCCAAACUCUGCAGUGCAGGAUGGCUCAUGGGCUGAGAUCGCCAGCUGAGUGUUCUCAUCCAACGAACACCUCCCUGUACCAUAGGUCUUAGUUUAGUGCAAGAGACUUCCAGAUGGAAGAGGUGGCAAGCAGCACCCCAGCUUGUCAACUUGUCAAAAACAAUUUUGCAAUGGUUUUAAUUUUUCUUUUUUACCCCAGGGGCUGUCAGGGCACUAAUGACACAACCACUAUAGUGAGCUAUUGUGGUUAUGGUGCAUGGGGGUGUUGCUAUAAAGGAACACUACAGUAUUACAAAUGCAAACAUGUAUUCUAACACUAUAGCGCUAGGGUAGCAGUUUAGGCACCGGUUCCCUUCAGAUUGCAAUGAAGAGAUAUUUUACUUGCUUUACUUCUUUGCGGUGGCUGACCUCCAUGGCUGAGAUAGUCAAUCUGGAUGAUCUCAGCCAAUCCAAUGCUUUGCCAUAGAUAACCAUUGGGAGACUCUCAGAGGCACUGCAAAACUCCACACCAAUCAGCAUCUUCUAAGAGACUAAUUUAUAAUAUCAAAGCAGUGCUUUUACAAAUUAUUUUGGGGAAGAAAUCCCCCUCUUAUCUAGGGCAGUGGAUUUUAACUUUAUUUUUUAAAUUUCAUUUUAAACAUAGAUCCCGUUUAAAAUUGCAUUACCCGUGACUUGUUCUCCAAUCAAAAUAGUAUUUACAAUAAACUGAUAACUAGGUAGAAAACGUCAACAGAAAUACUUGGGAGAGCUUCCGGCUCUCACUGAAGAUAUUUAAUACAGGCUAAUGCAUUUUAUUAUCAACAAAAAUUUAAAAAAAAAACUGAGGAAAUUGUAAUCUCAUAGUAAAAAUAUAAAAUAAAAUUCAAAAGACAAGCAUUGUGACACAUGUCAAAAUUGGUCCAAUGAAGAAAUGCGAUCAGAAUGGAAGACAGACAAAUUAUAAAAUAUGAUGAAUUAAUUGACAGACAACAAAGUACAAGCAGUGAUAAGAGGUAGUACUUAAAAGACAAUCCGGCAUCGUCAAAUAGUGCUUAUUACAAUACAAUGAAGAAAAAUAAAAUAAAAUUACACUGGCAUAUUUCCUCAUCACAAUGCUGAAUCCCAUUACACAGUCAAUAUGUAAUGUAACAGACUUUUCUGUAACAUUCCAUACAUACAAAGUGUGUUUGUAUUCACAAAGGGUUUU